UACGUAGGGAGCUAGCGUUAUCCGGAUUUACUGGGCGUAAAGGGUGCGUAGGUGGUCUUUCAAGUCGCAGGUUAAAGGCUGCGGCUCAACCCGAUUAAGCCGUCGAAACUGGAAGACUUGAGUACAGGAGAGGAAAGUGGAAUUCUCUGUGUAGCGGUGAAAUGCGUAGAUAUUGAGAAGAACACCAGUAGCGAAGGCGGCUUUCUGGACUGAAACUGACACUGAGGCACGAAAGCGUGGGUAGCAAACAGG
rnacentral:rRNA from 1 species